ensembl:lncRNA novel transcript
UGCUUUUAAAAGUCCUUUUAAUACAGCAUGAAGAGGCUAUAUUUCUAUAGGCGAGCCGUAUACAGAUUCUCCAGGAAUAAGGCACACAACGGAAUGCCAUCCCAAGGGCUGCACUUCGGAGACGUCGGAGCCUUCUCCACGCACCUUCCGAGCUGGGCCCACGGGUUCUGUUUUGUCUUUUUAGCUGGACUCACACGUAUGGACAGACACAGACACGGACGGGGUCACCGCAUGGGGGCGGAGGAGGUCGGACGGCAAGGCAAGAAUGGUGUGAUUUUCGUGGUGCCUGCCCUGCCAUGGCCGGGGGCAGCAGGCACACAUGACUUGAGUUGGCAUUCCUGACCUAGAUGAUCCCUAAAGAUCCUUCCAAUGCAAAUAGUUCCAUGAGUAGACAGCACACAGGCUUGAGAAGUGGACAGAGUCCAAGUCCUGGCCACUGCUUCUGCACACCUCUGGGCAUGUAACAGAGGCUAGUUUUUGCCAGGCUUGGGCCACUUGGGUGCUGGGCUUU